ensembl:misc_RNA Metazoa_SRP Metazoan signal recognition particle RNA
GCCGGGUGCGGUGGCGCAUGCCUGUAGUCCCAGCUAUUUGGGAAGCGAAGGCUGGGGAUCCCUUGAGCCCAGUAGUUCUGGGCUGUAGUGCGCUAUGGCGAUCAGGUGUCCGCACUAAGUUCGGCAUCAACAUGGUGACCUCCCGGGAGUGGGGGACCACUAGGUGGCCUAAGGAGGGGUGAACCGGACCAGGUUGCAAACAGAGCAGGUCAAAACUCCCGUGCUGAUCAGUCUUGGAAUCGUGCAUCUGAAUAGCCAGUGCACUCCAGCCUGGGCAACAUGGUCAGACCCUGUCUCUU